rnacentral:rRNA from 1 species
AUUGAACGCUGGCGGCAUGCCUAACACAUGCAAGUCGAACGAGUGGCGGACGGGUGAGUAAUGUCUGGGAAACUGCCUGAUGGCGGGGGAUAACUACUGGAAACGGUGGCUAAUACCGCAUACCAUCGGAUGUGCCCAUAUGGGAUUAGCUAGUAGGUGGGGUAAAGGCUCACCUAGGCGACGAUCCGUAGCUGGUCUGAGAGGAUGACCAGCCACACUGGAACUGAGACACGGUCCAGACUCCUACGGGAGGCAGCAGUGGGGAAUAUUGCACAAUGGGCGAAAGCCUGAUGCAGCCAUGCCGCGUGUAUGAAGAAGGCCUUCGGGUUGUAAAGUACUUUUAGCGGGGAGGCGUUACCUGCAGAAGAAGCACCGGCUAACUCCGUGCCAGCAGCCGCGGUAAUUC